UGGGGAGUACGUUCGCAAGAAUGAAACUCAAAGGAAUUGACGGGGGCCCGCACAAGCGGUGGAGCAUGUGGUUUAAUUCGAUGAUACGCGAGGAACCUUACCAGGGCUUAAAUGUAGAUUGACAGGUUUAGAGAUAGACUUUCCUUCGGGCAAUUUACAAGGUGCUGCAUGGUUGUCGUCAGCUCGUGCCGUGAGGUGUCAGGUUAAGUCCUAUAACGAGCGCAACCCCUGUCGUUAGUUGCCAGCAUGUCAUGAUGGGGACUCUAACGAGACUGCCGGUGCAAACCGUGAGGAAGGUGGGGAUGACGUCAAAUCAUCACGGUCCUUACGUCCUGGGCCACACACGUGCUACAAUGGCCGGUACAGAGAGCAGCCAUGUUGCAAAGCAGAGCGAAUCUAUAAAACCGGUCACAGUUCGGAUCGGGGUCUGCAACUCGACCCCGUGAAGCUGGAAUCGCUAGUAAUCGGAUAUCAGCCAUGAUCCGGUGAAUACGUUCCCGGGCCUUGUACACACCGCCCGUCAAGCCAUGGAAGCCGGGGGUGCCUGAAGUCCGUCACCGUAAGGAGCGGCCUAGGGCAAAAUUGGUAACUAGGGCUAAGUCGUAACAAGGUAACC
rnacentral:rRNA from 1 species